AGGUCCAUCCCACAGGUUGGCGCCGCAUGGGGUAGCGGCUGGGCAGGUGCCCUCCAGCCCCUGCGCGGACUUAGGACAGGGGUAGUGACCUCAAUUGACAACCCCUCCGCUGCCCGGGGGAGGCUCGAGAUGGUCACGGGAUUGGGAUAGUGGUGUGACAGUCUCCAGGCGGCGCGGGGCGGACACCGCACGGGGCAGUGGCCAGUCCACCCCUCCGGGGCCCAGGAGAGGCUCAGCCGCGCGUGGCUCUGCCCUCUCCCCAGAGCCUCCAGCGCCCCGCCCGCGGCGCAUCUGGGGCCGGGCUCGGGCGAGCGGCCAGCCCUACCUCCUCGGUGGCCGUGGGGCAGUAGGAGAUGAGCACGAGCGUGCGCAUUUGAUGCCAGCAGGGUUGGAUAUUUUUACACACGAUCUUCCCUGGAAUUGAGGGCCGGAACCCAGGCAUGUCCUCCCCCUGCACCGGGGAAUAGACCGGCUUGCUACGCAUUGGAGGGUCACUGGCCCCUUAUCUCACAAUGCACUCUCUUGGACAGGGGACAUCUGUCAUAAACAUGUUCUGUUGUACAACCUGAGACAGGCCCGUCACUCUCUUCACUUCAUGGUUCUGAUCUGUACGCACUUUCUAAGGCCUAGGACAAGCCAGAAAUUGCUUCCAAGACACUUGCGUGGCGCAACCUCUAUCAGCAAGCGCAUCAGGGAUCCACAAACUGCUCCCGUGGGCCAGGGCCAGCCCACUGCCUGUUUUCCUACAGCCCUCCAGCUAAGUACGGUUUUUACAUUUUUAAAUGAUUGGGAAAAAAUCCAAAGAAUACUAUUUUGUAAUGUGAAAUUAUAUGAAAUUCAAAGUUCAGUGCCACAAAUAAAGCCAUGUCUAUUUCUUACAUAUUUUUUGGCUGCCUUCAUGCUACAGAGGCAGCAGAAUUCAAUUGUGACAGAGACCAUACGGCUGGCAAAGCCUGGAAUAAGUCCUACUAGGCCCUUUAAGGAAAAAAGUGGCAACCACUGCCUUAGAGCAAUGAGGAUGUCUACAGACCAAGCAUAUGUGUUUUAGGAAUAUGUAUCUUCUCAUCUUUAAUGUGAAAAGCGAUGCUGACAAAUGCAGGAAAGGAAAUGGAAUGAUGGAGAUCCACUUUUAACACUGCCGGCUUAUGUGCAGUGAUCGUGACAGUACCUACUUUUUAAUUUACCAAUGCCAUGAAUUGUCCAAGGAAAAACCCUUUUUCAGAUUAGCAAAUUUUACUGUAUUAAAAAUAAUUUCUAAUGUACAUCAAAAGACAUCAUAAAGAGAAUGAAAACGCAAGCCAUAAACUGGAAAAAGGCAUUUCCUUCAAAUAAAACCCACAAUGACUAGUACCCAGAUUACGUAAAGAACUCCUAAAAAUCAGUCAGAAACAAAAAUAAUCAAUGGGGCUAUGUUCAGUUUCUAUAGCAGAAACCCUGGAACAUGGUAAUGUAAAGAAAAUAUUUCUCUCUCACAUGAAAGAAGUAUAUAAUUGGCACUCCAA